rnacentral:rRNA from 1 species
AAUGAACGUUGGCGGCGUGGAUUAGGCAUGCAAGUCGAGCGAGAAGUUUACUUCGGUAAAUGGACAGCGGCGAAAGGGACAGUAAUGUGUAGGUACCUACCCCCCGAUCUGGGAUAGCUGCGGGAAACUGCAGGUAAUACCGGAUAAUGUCUUCGGACCAAAGGUGUGAUUCCGUCAGGGGAGGGGCCUGCAUCCUAUUAGCUUGUUGGUGAGGUAAUGGCUCACCAAGGCAACGAUGGGUAGCGGGUGUGAGAGCAUGACCCGCGUCAUUGGGACUGAGACACUGCCCAGACAUCUACGGAUGGCUGCAGUCGAGAAUCUUCGGCAAUGGGCGAAAGCCUGACCGAGCGACGCCGCGUGCGGGAUGAAGGCCCUCGGGUUGUAAACCGCUGUCGUUGGGGAGGAAAUGCAAAAGGGUUAUCCCUUCUGUUUGACCGAUCCAAGGAGGAAGUACGGGCUAAGUUCG